GUGGGGAAUAUUACACAAUGGGCGAAAGCCUGAUGCAGCAACGCCGCGUGAGGGACGACGGCCUUCGGGUUGUAAACCUCUUUUAGUAGGGAAGAAGCGAAUGUGACGGUACCUGCAGAAAAAGCACCGGCUAACUACGUGCCAGCAGCCGCGGUAAUACGUAGGGUGCAAGCGUUAUCCGGAAUUAUUGGGCGUAAAGAGCUCGUAGGCGGUCUGUCGCGUCUGCUUUGAACACUGGAGGCUCAAUCUCCUGCCUGCAGUGGGUACGGGCAGACUAGAGUGCGGUAGGGGAGAAUGGAAUUCCUGGUGUAGCGGUGGAAUGCGCAGAUAUCAGGAGGAACACCGAUGGCGAAGGCAGAUCUCUGGGCCGUAACUGACGCUGAGGAGCGAAAGCGUGGGGAGCGAACAGGAUUAGAAACCCCGGUAGUCC
rnacentral:rRNA from 1 species